CUCAGGCACUCUCUCCUCCUCCUCCUGCUCCGCUCCGCCCCCGCCCUCCCUCUGCCUCCAGCAGCGUCCACUCCAUCCACCCGUGCCCCGCAGGGCACUAAAGCCAGACUAUUAAUAACCCUCCGCCUGGCUGAGGGCUCAGGUCACACUCUGGAAAUACCAUCUUCAGUGCAUGUUCUGUCUUGCCUCCUACUCUAGGGACUCGCAGAAGAGAGACAGCCCCUCAUUGGAUCAAGAAGUACAAGGAAUCCCCACUUACAGUAUGGCCCAAGUCUUACAGCCUCAGACUUCUGAGAACGAAAUUUUAAAAAACGGCAGUUUAAGUUAUGAAAAGAGGGACGUUGUCAGUCAGAGUCUAUUGGGAUAGGUAGGUCUUGGGGUGAGAAAACAGAUCGGGUUCAACUCCCAGCACAGCCUGAGCCACUGAGGAUUUACAGCCUGGAGGCAGAAUGGGGGCCAAUGGAUGGGAAAUGACCAGGGGGGAAUCCAGGGACCAGAGGGAAUUCUGGAUAAACUGAUCUAACUGGAGUCCUCUAUAUCUACAGACUGGGGUGGCCAGCUCUCGCUUUGAAAACCACUGAUCAAGCAUGGGAAGAGGUGAUCAGGGGGUGAUGGAAUUAUAGGGAUUGUGUCUAAACUGACUUGUUCUUGUUAAAACUGGGUGAAGAGAAUGCACCCCUGGGCCUCCAAGGAGGAGUCUGCCUGCAGUUUGGUCAAGGGAAGAGUUUCUAUCAGAGGCAAUAUAACUCCAAGGCAUGUCUGAGCUGCCUGUUUUCCACCUGUGGAAUGGGGCAGGAGAGGAACCUGCUCUGGGACGUGUCGUCAGGAAUGCGUGACAUCAUAGACUUCGGAGAGGAGUCUGUGCUUUUAAGUUUUCAACUUUCAACUUAUCGGUUGCAUAAUGUUUGCUCAUAAGUGCUUCAUAAACAGGUGGUGGAACCCUCCUCUUCCGCGCACUGAGAGCUACAAGCUCCAGGACUGUAUGACUGUCCCAUUCGGCAGGAGAGUUAAUGGUCAUAAGUCAUCAGAAAACUUUUUUUUUUUUCAUUGACUGCCUUAUACAUUCUGGAAAGAAUUUCAGCACAGAGCUAGCUGCACCUCUAAUCCUCCUCCUUCUGUAAAAUCAUUUGUCGCCAUGGGUUCAUAAAUAAAAACAUGACACAGUGGGGUGAAGCUUGAACAUCUGCCUAGUCCCAAAUGCUAUCCAUUUCAGCGAACCCCUGUACACAGAACAGCCGUGCCCUGGAACCCCCUUUAUGAACCCUGUACAUACAUAGAACCACUCCACACACACACCAAAUCUGUGAUGGGAUGCAAACUAGGAAAAAAAAAUAUGUUUCUAAUAUCUUUCAUGACUUAUGUGUCCUUUGCCUACAUUCUAUCCUUCCUCAUUACCUAAUAUGUCCCUCUCGUUAUUCUUUUAAAUGUUACUAUGUUGUCCUACUAUGCUAUUCCUCACAGAGGAAAUCCUAAUCUGUAGUGUGCACGCAUGUGUGUGUGUGUAUAAGUGGGUUUAUGUAAGCAGAUAAAGAGACUUUUUUAUUUCCUUAUUCUUUACUCUCAAAUAACAUCUCAGUAGUCUACCUAGACUGGCCUUGACCUCACUCUCAGCUUAGGCUGGCCUUGAACUUGUAAGUUUCCUGCUUCAGCCUCCUGUGCAGGCUGGACUACAGACCAGCACCAUGCUGGGGUUAUAUCUUUAUUUCAAAUAAUAACAAGUAUCUAGAUGCACUGGUCUCCAGGUGGGAUAUUUUGAAAGCCCAGAUCCAGGGAGAACCAUUUCUAGAAACCUCUGCUCCUCCAUCCUGCUAGGAAAAUGAAUUUAGGAAUCUUUUAACCUACAGGUGUCUUGGGUUUGAGGUUCCAAUCUUCAACAGCUGGGAGCUUGGGACUUGUCAUUUUCCCUUUGAGAGUCUUGGGGUCCCAGCUCUGUUUUCUUUAUGGGGUGAGCAUGUUGGGGAAUUUGAAUCCCAGGUUGAGAAGACAUUUUGGUAGAAAGCCGUCCUCUUACGAGGUGCUUUACUCAAAAUAAGGAUACUGAGAAGAAUCACUCACAGUGGUGAGCCACUGCAGUAAUGGUGGGAAAUGUUCACAACCAUCUUUGAUACCGUCAACCCAUUUUUCAGAUGAGGAAAUAGAGGAGAGCCAGCCCAUGCACACAGAUGUCCUGUGCCAGAAACUGUGUGGGAGAGCUGAUUGGUUUGAAUCUUAGAUCUGUACUGAGUGAGUUGGCUGAGACCCCUGGCUUUUGCUCCAGUGGAGAGAGGGUCCCCCUGUCCUGACUUGAUGUGUCCCCCCAAGUACCUGGGUGGCCUCAGUGCGAUGCAGGAUGAGCUCAUUGCGCCAGAAGACUUAAGCUGACGUCAUGGCUGGGCACAGACCGCAGCUGGGAGGGGCUGAGUGAGCCUGCAGCUAAUUAUGAGGAGAGUCACCCUGUAUGAUGAACAGGGAGAAAUCUGGCCCUGCCUGGGUCCAGGCGGGGGCUGGAGAGAGGCUCUUCAGUGCCUGGGCUGGGCUGGGCUGGGCUGGGGGCCGUGAGGUCCCAGCUGAGUGCAUGUGGAUUUGGGCCUCUUUGCACAUCUUCAUUGAGAAUUUCUAGAGGCCCUUCUGCCUGGAACCAAGAAGGGAGAAAGCUUGACAGCACUGAAUUGAGCAUCUUUUGUGGCCUGUGCUUCUCCCCACCCAGCACCCCCUCCCCCUUGCCCUUGUCUCUCAUGUAGCACAGGCAAACCUUGAGCUCCUUAUACAACAGACGGUGACCUUGAACUCCCACUUGCCCUUGUCUCUCAUGUAGCACAGGCAAACCUUGAGCUCCUUAUACAACAGACGGUGACCUUGAACUCC